AUUGAACGCUGGCGGCACGCCUAACACAUGCAAGUCGAGCGGUAGCAUGGUUUGUAGCAAUACGGACUGAUGACGAGCGGCGGACGGGUGAGGAACACGUAGGAACCUGCCUUCUGGAGGGGGAUAACCAGGGGAAACCCUGGCUAAUACCGCGUAAACUCGAGAGAGGAAAGCUGCCCGCGAGGGUGGCGCCAGGAGAGGGGCCUGCGUCCGAUUAGCUUGUUGGUGAGGUAAAGGCUCACCAAGGCGAUGAUCGGUAACUGGUCUGAGAGGACGACCAGUCACACUGGGACUGAGACACGGCCCAGACUCCUACGGGAGGCAGCAGUGGGGAAUAUUGGACAAUGGGGGCAACCCUGAUCCAGCGAUGCCGCGUGGGUGAAGAAGGCCUUCGGGUUGUAAAGCCCUUUAGGCCGGGAAGAAGUAGGGCGGGUGAACAUCCCGUUUUAUUGACGGUACCGGCAGAAUAAGCACCGGCAAACUCUGUGCCAGCCGCCGCCGUAA
rnacentral:rRNA from 1 species